rnacentral:ncRNA from 1 species
UAGAGCGGGUCGCUGUCAUAGGCAGCCUUCUUGGGUAACCAAGUACGGAAACACAGGGUGAAUUGCGGGAAAUCUAAGUCCACCUAAGGUGGAUAUGACAAUCCGCAGCCAAGCCAAGAUUGGGAUAAAGGAUCUUGGAAGGUUCAGAGACUAGAGUGUGAGCCCAACAAUACUCCCUCACAAGCGCCCUGCUCCAUCUUUUUGAUGGAUGAUGAGAUAGUCCACGCAUCCUCGAAAGAGAUGA